UCAGGUAAGGUGUAGCGGCAACACAUCCUGGUUGUUUCCGAAGUGCAACAAAAAUCACUAGGAUAUCUAGAGUUCGAUUCUCUGUGCCUGAG